AUGAGCGGUCAUGUUCAUAGAAAGCUUUCCUUUGAAAUCUUGCUGAUCUAAGGUUACUAUGUCGCCAUUGUGUUUAACUUUGAGUGCAUAUGGAAGAUCGGAUUCACAUAACGCUGUUGUGGACCGCUAGGAAUAAACUGUGGGUUUGGUCCGUUGCGUAUGUACACACCGUCUAGACAUGGAGGAAGGAACCCGUAUACCACCUCACAUUCGGUCGGGCUCAUCUCAUCAACGGGUGCAAAGUUACCGGUGAGCGUGUAACAUGGGUCGACGGAUAGGUGAAGCGGAGGAUCAAGAAACUUGAUGAUAGCACUGUCAAGUGUGGUAAAUAUUGUUUCAAGUAAAGAAUGCUUAGGUAAAGUUGGUUGAGAUUCAUUGUUUGUGGUAAAAUGUAAGCCCUCAUUGAGUCCGAAAACGGAAACAGUGAGAGUAGUUUGAGAUUUGAAGGUGUUUUUGGCUAGAGAAUUGAAGGGAAUAUGAAUCAGUCCG
rnacentral:lncRNA from 1 species